GUAACACGUAUGCAACCUGCCUGUAAGACGGGAAGUAACCCGUUGAAAGACGGACUAAUACCGCAUAAUACUAAAUUACUGCAUGGUAAUUAUUUAAACAUUUAUGGCUUACAGAUGGGCAUGCGCAUGAUUAGCUAGUUGGAGAGGUAACGGCUCCCCAAGGCAACGAUCAUUAGGGGUUCUGAGAGGAAGGUCCCCCACACUGGUACUGAGACACGGACCAGACUCCUACGGGAGGCAGCAGUGAGGAAUAUUGGUCAAUGGACGAGAGUCUGAACCAGCCAAGUCGCGUGCAGGAAGAAUGUCCUUAAUGGAUUGUAAACUGCUUUUGCAGGGGAAUAAAGUGCAUCACGUGUGAUGUUUUGUAUGUACUCUGCGAAUAAGGAUCGGCUAACUCCGUGCCAGCAGCUGC
rnacentral:rRNA from 1 species